CCUACGGGCGGCAGCAGUGAGGAAUAUUGGUCAAUGGGCGUGAGCCUGAACCAGCCAAGUCGCGUGAGGGAUGAAGGUUCUAUGGAUCGUAAACCUCUUUUAUAAGGGAAUAAAGUGUGGGACGUGUCCUAUUUUGUAUGUACCUUAUGAAUAAGGAUCGGCUAACUCCGUGCCAGCAGCCGCGGUAAUACGGAGGAUCCGAGCGUUAUCCGGCUUUCUUGGGUUUAAAGGGUGCGUAGGCGGCCUUGUAAGUCAGCGGUGAAAUUCUGUGGCUCAACCAUAGAAUUGCCGUUGAAACUGGGGGGCUUGAGUAUGUUUGAGGCAGGCGGAAUGCGUGGGGGAGCGGUGAAAUGCUUAGAUAUCACGCAGAACCCCGAUUGCGAAGGCAGCCUGCCAAGCCAUGACUGACGCUGAUGCACGAAAGCGUGGGGAUCAAACAGGAUUAGAUACCCCUGUAGUC
rnacentral:rRNA from 1 species